GAUGAAGAACGUAGCGAAUUGCGAUAAGUAAUGUGAAUUGCAGAAUUCAGUGAAUCAUCGAAUCUUUGAACGCAGCUUGCGCUCUCUGGUAUUCCGGAGAGCAUGCCUGUUUCAGUGUCAUGAAAUCUCAACCACUAGGGUUUCCUAAUGGAUUGGAUUUGGGCGUCUGCGAUUUCUGAUCGCUCGCCUUAAAAGAGUUAGCAAGUUUGACAUUAAUGUCUGGUGUAAUAAGUUUCACUGGGUCCAUUGUGUUGAAGCGUGCUUCUAAUCGUCCGCAAGGACAAUUACUUUGACUCUGGCCUGAAAUCAGGUAGGACUACCCGCUGAACUUAAGCAUAUCAAUAAGCGGAGA
rnacentral:misc_RNA from 1 species